rfam:Rhodobacteraceae bacterium SB2 pfor_13, whole genome shotgun sequence.
UUUAUCAGAACGGGAGAACUGGAUAAACCAGUGCCGAAGGAGCAACCGCCCCCGGAAACUCUCAGGCAGCAGGACCGCUCUGAACAA